rfam:Actinomadura madurae strain DSM 43067 genome assembly, contig: Ga0074857_101
GCCGGUCCUCGGUAGUGGCUUCCGGAUCCGUUCCGCCUUGUCGGCGGACCUGCCGAUCCGGGUGCUUCGAUCGAAGACCGGC